rfam:Lysinibacillus odysseyi 34hs-1 = NBRC 100172 contig8, whole genome shotgun sequence.
GAAGUCCUUCGGGGUCGGGUGUAAUUCCCAAUCGGCGGUGAUAGAGAAAUCUUAAGCCCGCGAGCGUAACAGCAGGAUUUGGUGUAAGUCCAAAGCCGACAGUAAUAGUCUGGAUGGAAGAAGGAGCUG